GACGAACGCUGGCGGCGUGCUUAACACAUGCAAGUCGAACGGAAAGGCCCUGCUGUUGUGGGAUGCUCGAGUGGCGAACGGGCGAGUAACACGUGAGUAACCUGCUCCUGAAUUUGGGAUAAUUACAGGAAACUGGGGUUAAUACUGGAUAGGAGCUCCUGCUGACCGGUGGGGGUUGGAAAGUUCCGGCGGGUUGGGAUGGACUCGCGGCUUAGGAGCUUGUUGGUGGGGGAGUGGCUUACCAAGGCUUUGACGGGUAGACGGCCUGUGAGGGUGACCGGCCACCUGGGGACUGCGAUACGGCCCAGAGUCCAACGGUGGGCAGCGGUGGGGAAUAUUACACAAUGGGCGGAAGCCUAAUGCAGCAACGCCGCGUGCGUGAUGACGGCCUUCGGGUUGUAAACCGCGUACGCCUGUGACGAAGCGUCAGUGACGGUAAUGGGUAAAGAAGCACCGGCUAACUACGUG
rnacentral:rRNA from 1 species